rnacentral:rRNA from 1 species
UACAGAGGGGGCAAGCGUUGUUCGGAAUUACUGGGCGUAAAGCGUGCGCAGGCGGUUCGCCAAGUCAGGUGUGAAAUCCCCGGGCUUAACCUGGGAAUUGCGCUUGAAACUAGCGGGCUUGAGUGUGGCAGAGGGGGGUGGAAUUCCACGUGUAGCAGUGAAAUGCGUAGAGAUGUGGAGGAACACCGAUGGCGAAGGCAGCCCCCUGGGUCAACACUGACGCUCAUGCACGAAAGCGUGGGGAGCAAACAGG